rnacentral:rRNA from 1 species
CUCCUACGGGAGGCAGCAGUGGGGAAUAUUGCACAAUGGGGGAAACCCUGAUGCAGCCAUGCCGCGUGUAUGAAGAAGGCCUUCGGGUUGUAAAGUACUUUCGGUAAUGAGGAAGGUGUUAUAUCUAAUAGGUAUAGCAAUUGACGUUAAUUACAGAAGAAGCACCGGCUAACUCCGUGCCAGCAGCCGCGGUAAU